UACGUAGGGUGCGAGCAUUGUCCGGAAUUAUUGGGCGUAAAGGGCUCGUAGGCGGCCAACUAAGUCAGACGUGAAAUCCCUCGGCUUAACCGGGGAACUGCGUCUGAUACUGGAUGGCUUGAGUUUGGGAGAGGGAUGCGGAAUUCCAGGUGUAGCGGUGAAAUGCGUAGAUAUCUGGAGGAACACCGGUGGCGAAGGCGGCGACCUGGGUAGAUACUGACGCUGAGGUGCGAAAGCGUGGGGAGCAAACAGG
rnacentral:rRNA from 1 species